CCUUCCUUCCUCCAAAACAACAGCAUCCAGAUAUUACACUCUCACACAAGUCUGUUGGGCGAGUCCUAGAAAAGUUCAGGCUGCAGUGGAUGAAAACAGCCUGCUUUUUCCGGAGGAGACGAAACAUCAACGGCUGAGCACCGAGGAUGGAGAGAAGAGGUGAAGAUGAGGGGAGGAAAACAAAAGGGAGAACAGAGAGGAGUUGGGGCGGAGGCAGAAAAAGAGAAAUCAGAAGAGACAAGGUUCACUGGAGCUGGCAGCUUGGCUCUUGGUCUCUUCCGAAUCCUGCUGCUGCUGCUCCUCCUCCUCCUCCUUCUUCUGUGGAGGGCUGGAAUCAACGCUGGAGGGUUUCGGCGGGCUCUCGCCUCCCAUGCUGCUUCUGGGUGACCGCAACUCCAUCUCCUCCGCCCAGUCUGACACGGGCUGAUGGCCGUCCAGUGGGGAGAAGGGGCUGAGGGGUUUGCCUCCCUCUGGGGACUCCUGAGCGGCCGCUGGGGGUGGGAUGUGGACCUUCGGCCUGGGAGUCCGUUGAUCUUUGGGGCUUCCUGCUGACGUCUGACGAGAACGAGGUUUGGGAGUUUUUGGGGAGGACUCUUUGCUCUUCGCUUGCUUCUCCUUUCCGAUGUCCUUCUUCUCGUCGCCUUUGGAGUUUUGCUCAGAGUCGCUCACCUCCUCAUAUUCCCCAUCAUCGCUGGCAUCCUCCCAUUCAUCAUCAUCCCCUUCUCCAUUCUUCUCCUCCACCUAAGGAAAGAUGGAAACAAAGUUAUUUUUUUAAUUUAUUUUUUUUAAUCCUGCAACAAAUGCCUUAUUUGGGGCUGUUUGGUUGGAGUGGCAGGAGCAUUUAAGGCACCGGUUCUCAUGUCCCACUUCAGAAAUUAAAAGAAAUUCACACCUCACAAAAAGAAAAAGGAUCCAUUUUUCUGGAGUAAAGGUCAGCACGACAGAUACUUUAUUAUUCAUAGAAGUCCAGAUGAACCCGUUACCUUCUGUACUGUGGGAGGUUUAGAUUUCUCUUCUUCCUCAUCUUUCUUUUUACUCUUCUCUUCUUUCUUCGUCUUGUCCUCCUUUUCCUUCUCCUCCUUUUCCUUGUCCUCCUCUUCCUUCUCUCCCUCCCAGCGGUUGUCAUGCAUGCUGUGAAAAGUUUCAGAAUAAAAGGUUCAGUGGACAUCGCACCAGCGUGAGAAAUGCACCGAAAAAUAUCGCAAUUCUCAACAAGAGCUGUUAAAAUGUUUAUUAAAAAGGAAAAAUGAGGAACAUUUGUUAAAAAAAAUAAUAUUCACUGACAGUCUCUAGAAAGUAUCUACAGUACAACUAGUUUAAAAGUCAUUUUAGUGUUUAAGAUUUCAGUUUCUUCACUGUAGAACAGCUUUGUGAUGAGGA
rnacentral:lncRNA from 1 species